UGCAGCAUAGCUGUGGGCCUCCCCUUCGCCCCCAUUCCUACUUACCAGGAAUGCCGUGGUGAUUAUCUUGUUUCUACUCCAUCCUGGCACCUGUGAUGUGUGAAGCAGAGAGGGGUCUGAAGCAGGAAUACAGCUUGGCCAAAACACAUCCCAGGACAUGGCGUGUCAUCGUUAGCAUCUUCCAACUAUGUCCUCCGUACUGAAUCAGGAAGUUGGAAUGUUUUUGCACCCAUGGAUCAUCAAGACAACACUCCUUUGGAUACCAGACGUUUGGACUGUUCGAUCAUCUGUUGCAUAUUCAGAGUUGUGGUGGCUAUGGCGAAGAUCAAGAACAGAAGGAAGGAAGGGAGGAUGUAAUGGCAAUGAAGAGCAACAGGCUGUUUGAUUCAUGGAUGGCUAUAAACAACCUCACCGGACUAUGAAUUGAGUAUCAUUUGCUAGCAGGCAUUGAAGAGAAGGUCUUAUUCCCUUGGGACUGACGCAGAAGUCACUGGUGCCACGAGAGUACGUUAAUCCUACUUAGGAUUCC